CACAAGUGCUAUUUCCUGCGUAGGACAGCUGGGAUGAAAGUGAUAUUUAAAAGCUGGUUUGAGUAAGUGUUGAAUAGUUGCAACAUACACAUAUCCCUUGUUAACACUGAAUAGCUAAACAUAAUCUUUAUACUUUACAUAUAUUGUCUCAUUUAGUUUUUAUAACAAUCUUGUGGAAGGAGAUGCUAUUAUUAGUCCUACUUUACAGAGAAGGAAAUUGAGGCUUAAAAGUUGUGAUUUGGCCAAGUCACACAUCUGAUAUCUGAGACAGCAUUUGAAUUCAGGUCUUUUUCAUAUGCAAGUCCUGGCUGCCUCAGUCCUGAUAAUAUCCUCAAGUUGACAUAAGUUCAUCAAGGGAUCUCUCUCUUCAGAAUUUAUUGCCUUACCCUUUAAUUUUCUGCUUUGCCUGCUACACCAAACCUAGAUUGUCCUCCUUUAGUUUCUUCAGCUCUUGAACUUCAGUAGUAUUAGAAUGAGAUUCAAAAUGUAGAAGAUUCAUGCUGUCCAUCAGUCAUGCCCUUGUCACAAUAAUAGGUUGAAAACUAGUUAUUUACCAGAUUCUUAAAAGAAAUUCUUCAUACCACCCAAGAUCCUAAUUUUCCAUUCUUCUACUAAGAAUCUCCCAGUUUCUGAACUCAAAACCUUGAACUGGUUGUUGAACCUUUUUCUUGGCCUCAAUAUAUCCUUUUCUUUAUAGCUAUCUUCUUUAUAUCCUAGAUAUCUCCACUGAUACCUGAAGAAAUUCACUUCCUAGGUUUAUUAUUUCCUUCAGCAAUAAUUUCAAUCUGUUCCCAUCCAGUAAUUCCCCUCUUUACCUUCAAUAAAGCACAUUGCUUAAAUCUUUAAAAAGCUAACAAUACUUGCUUUAUCUUGUACCCCUCACUACCUUUCCUUACUGCCUAACAUCUUUUAAAAGUACUUUGCUUUCCUUGUUAUUCUCUUUAAAUCCCUGUAGGUCUAGAUUGCCCUCACUACUCUUUGGAAAGUUCUUAAAAAUCUUGAUAGCUGUCCAAUAGCCUUUUCUUGAUCUUCUACGGUGUCCCUAUUCUGGUUGUACCUUUUGAGCAUUCUAGUAGCAUCUUUGGGAGUGGUGAUUCCAGCCAGAAGCAGAUGGAUUUACAAGAGAAUUCUAUCAAACACUUAAAAACAAUUCUAAUGCCACAUGAAUUGCUUGGGAGGGAAAGGUAAAGAAAUCAAAUUUCUCUUAUAAAAUAUAAAUACAGUGUUGAUGCCUAAACUAGGGAAACUCAAAAUAGAAAACUACAGACCAAUUUUAGUGAAGAUUUUAAAUGUCAGCAAAUGGACCACAGAAAUAUGAAACAAAAAUUAUAUGCUAUGGCCAGGCUGGAUUUAUGCCAGGAAUGCAAAGCUGGUUCAAUAUAGGAAAAUUAUUGUUAUAAUUGACCAUUUCGAUAACAAAAUUAACAAAUGAUUACCUCAGUAGAUGUAGAAAAAAGUUUUUGGUAAAAUAUAGCAACUGUUAUUAAAAACACUAAAGCGUAUUGGAAUCAAUGGAGUUUUCUUAAAGCCAUCAGCAAACAUAAUGGGGAUAAAGUAGAAACCUCCCCAGUAAGAUCAAAGAAACAAGGAUGCCCAUUGCCACUUCUAUUAAAUAUUGUGCUAGAAAUGUUAGCUAUAACAAUGAGAAGGGAAAAAAAGGAAUUAGAAUAGACACUGCAGAUGAUCAAAGGAUAUACUUAGAAAAUAAAAAAAAAAAAACCUAUUAGUAACAACUUUAGAAAGGUUUUAGGAUAUAAAAUGGACCCAUGUAAAUCCAGCAUUCCUAUAUGUUACCAACAAAGCCCAGCAGUAAGAAAAAGAAAUCCCAUUUAAAAUACUAAAUAGUAUAAAAUAUCUGGGAGUCUACCUGCCAAGAAGAAAAGUGCUUCACACAAAUAGUUCUAAACAAUUGAAAGAAUACCCAUUGGCCAUAGGUAAGCCAACCUAAUAUAAAAAUGACAAUUCUACCUAAAUUAAUCUACUUUUUCAAUGCCAUACCAAACUGCCAAGAAAUUAUAGAGCUAGAAAAUAACAAAAUUCAUCUAAAAAGACAAAAGGUUAAUAUCAAAGGAAUAGGGGCAGCUAGGUGGUGCGGUGAAUAGAGCACCAACCCUGAAGUCAGGAGGACCAGAGUUCAAAUUUGGUCUCAAGACACUUAAUACUUCCUAGCUGUAUGAUCCUGGACAAAUGGCUUAACUCUAAAUGCCUCGGCAAAAAGGAAUUAAUGGAAAAAAUGCAAAGGAAAAUAGUGUAGCUGUACCAGGCCUAAAACUAUAUUAUGAAGUGGUAGUCAUCAAAACUAUUUGAUACUAAGAAAUAAAAGCAUAGUGGAUCCAUGGAAUGGGUUAGGUACACAAUGCACAAUAGCCAAUGGCUACAGUAAUUUAGUGUUUGUUAAACCCUAAGACUACAGAUUUGGGGAUAAGAACUCACUUUGACAAAAAUUGCUGGGAAAACAGGAAAAUGGUGGCAAAAACUAGGAAUUGACCAACAUGACACCCUACACCAAGAUAAGGUCACAAUUAGUAGAGCAAGGGGAUUAUCUACUUGUCAGAUCUGUGGAGAAAGGAAUUUAUGGCCAAAAAAGAAUUAGAGAACAAUCUGAAAUACAAAAUAGAUAAAUCUUGAUUGUAUUAAAAAGAUUUUGCACAAACAAAACUAUUGCAGCCAAAAUUAGGAAGCAAAAAGCUGGGAAAUGAUUUUUAUAGUAGGCCGAGACCUCAUUUCUGAAAAUAUAUAAUGAGGAUAGAAGUCAUUUUUCAAUAGAUAACUGUUCAAAGGAUAUGAACAAUUUUCAGAUGAAAUUAAAGCCAUUUGUAGUCAUAUGAAAAUGCUCUAAAUCACUAUUGAUAGAGAAAUGCAAAUUAAGACAACUCUAAGAUACCAUCUUAACCUCUCAGAUUGUAAGAUAUGUUGGAGAAUAUGUGAGGAAAGUGGAACACUACUGCAUUGUGGGUAGUUGUGAAAUGAUCCAACUAUUCUGAAGAGCAAUUUGGAACUGCCCAAAGGGUUAUAAAACUCCACGUACCUCUUUUAUCAGUGUCUUUACUGGGUCUAUCCAAAGAUACCAUAAAAAAGGGUACAUUAUUGAACCUGUGAAGAAGUACAACCAUUCUUUAAAGAAAUUUGAAAUCACAAAAAGUUUCUAAAUCUACACAUCAACUAGACCUAUAUUCAAAGGAGAUGAAGGAAAAAAGAAAAAAAAUAUUAUGGUAUGUGAAGGUACAUUUUUCUAUAAGAAAUGAUGAGCAGGUUGAUUUCAGAAAAGCCUGGAAAGACAAGAGAACAUAAUACACAGUAACAACAAAAUUACACGAUCAGCUGUGAUAAACUUGGCUCCUUUCAACAAUAAGAUGAUUCAAGGCAAUUCCAAUAGACUUGUAAUGGAAAGUGUUACAUGCAGAGACUGAAUGUGGAUCAUAAUAUUUUCACCUUUUAUUUGUCCUCCCUCCUUUUGAUCUUAUUUUUCUUACACAGCAUGAUGAAUAUGGAAAUAUGUUUAGAAGUGUACGUUUAACCUAUAUACAAUUGUUUGCUGUCUUGGGGAGGGAUGAGAGAAGGGAAGGAAAAAAAUUUGGAACAUAAGGUUUUGAAUGUUGAAUGUUGAAAAUUCUUUGCAUGUAUUUAGAAAAAUGAUUGAAAAAUAAAUUAAAAAUAAAAUAACUGUAGAAUACAAAAAUAUUUGGCAGUGUAGCUAUCAAAACAAAUUCAGGAACUAUGUAAAUACAAUUAUAAAAUACUUGAACAAAUAAAAUCAGAUAAUUGAGAAAAUAUCAAUGCUCAUGGGUAAACAGAUAAUACAAAAGUGAUAAUUUUGCGUAAGUUAAUUUACUUAUUCAGUACCAUACCAAUCAAACUACCAAAAAAAUUAUAGAACUAGAAAAAAAUAAUUUGAAACACAUUUGGAAGAAUACAAGGGAAUUGGUGAAAAAUAUGCAAAAGAAGGUGGCUUCUCGGUACAAGAUCUAAAACUAUUAUAAAGGAGCAAUCCAGAACUAUUUGAUACUAAGAGAGUGGUGGAUCAGUACAAUAGGUUAGGUAAACAAGACACAAUAAUCAAUGACUUCAGAAAUCUACUGUUUGAUAAGCCCAAAGAGUCCAGCUUCCCUGGAAUAACCCACUAUUUUAAAAACUGCUGGGAAUGCUGGAAAAAUACUAUGGCAUAGGGCAACAUCUUACACCAUAUACCAAGAUAAGGUUGAAAUGGGUAUAUGAUUUAGAUAUAAAAAGUGAUACCAUAAGCAAAUUAAAAGAGAAGAAAGUUUACCACUCAUAUAUGGAGAAGGGAAGAAUUUGUAACCAAAAAAGAGAGAACAUUAUGAAAUAAAAAAUGUGUAAUUUUGAUUAAUUUUAAAAGGUUUUGCAUAAGCAAAACCAAUGCAACCAAGAUUAGAAAGAAGCAGAAAGCUGGGAAACAAUGUUUACUUCUGAGAAAGGCCUCAUUUUAAAAUAUAUAGAGAACUUGAUCAAAUUUAUAAGACUACAAGUCAUUAUCCAGUUGGUUAUUGGUCAAAGGAAAUUCAGAUGAAAUUAAAGCUAUCUAUAGUCAUAUGAAAAAUGUUCUACAUUUCUAUUGAUUAAAAGAAACAACUGUGUUAACCACAUCAGAUUGGUUAAUAUGACAAAAUGGAAAUGACAAAUGUUGGAGAGGAUCUGAGAAAAUUGGAAUAUUGAUGCAUUUCUGAUGGAGUUGUGAACUGAUCCAACCAUUCUAGAGAACAGUUUGGAACUAUGUCCAAAGAGCUAUAAAACUCUGCAUAGCCUUUGAUCCAACAAUAACACUAUUGAGUCUGUCUCGAAGGGAUCAUUAAAAAUUAGAAAAGGACCCACCUGUACAAAAAUGUUUAUGGUAGCCCUUUUUUGUGAUGGUAAAGAAUGAGAAACUGAGGGGUUGUCCAUCAAUUGGGGAAUAGCCAAAUAUAUUGUAGUCUAUGGAUGUAAAAGAAUACUGUUGUAACUGUAAUAAAUGAAGUGAAUUUCAAAAAACCUGGAAAAACUUACAUGAACUGAUGCUGAAUUAAGUGAGCAGAACCAGGAGAACAUUGUGCAUAGUAACAGUAACACUGUACAAUGAUCAAUUUUGACAGACUUAACUUUUCUUAGCAAUACAAUGAUCUAAAAUAAUUCCAAAAGACUCAUAAUGGAAAAUGCUAUCCAAAUCCAGAAAAAGCACUGUGGAGUCUCAAUUACAAUUGAAGCAUACUACUUUUAUUUUUGUUUCUUUUGUUCUGAUUUUUCUUUAACAAGAUGAUUAGUAUAGAAACAUAUUUAAUAGCCUAUCUCAAAUUACUUGCUAUCUUGGGAAGAAAGGAGAAGAUGAAAAGGAGUG
ensembl:lncRNA